CCUUCAAUACAUUAGUUGUUUGCUGAGUCAUACUCAUAUUAACAUAUGCAUCUUAGCUGGCUAUUAUUAAGCCUUGAUUCUUCCUCGACUCAACUUACUUCCAUCCUUUACAUUGCUUAGUAUCAAAACCAUCAAAUAAUACUCUUCAUUUCUUUUCUCUGGUCAUCAUUUACGCUACUCUUUCAUUUUCUAUGUGCUAUAUAAGUCACCCUCUUGUUACCUUUGAGUCCAUCCAAAAUAUUCGCCAAGUCUCUCGCAAGUAUUCAUCGUGUUUGUAACACACGGGUUCUUGGUUUCCACGGUCUAAUCUACAAAAUAAUUCUUGGAGCAAGGGCAAACGUGUCUGCAUUAUAGCUGUGAGUUUGAGGCGGCUUAGAGUCCUGGCUUAGGAUGGAAAACACUUAAGGUACACAAGAAGAUGUGUAAGAUUUAUGGUUGAUGCUUGUUCGCGAAACGGGAGAAAUCAUUAUGGGUUUUUCGUCAUUUAUUUUGAAAUAAGGAAGGAUUUUAUGGCUCUUUGAUUGUUGUUUUGAAUUAUUUAGUAUGUUUAGAAAUGCGGAGACGUGCUAUCUUCCGCUGGAAACUUUAAACAAGUUUCACUUUUGUUCUUUUGAAGCUGAUACAUUUUUCUCCAUUUUCAACUAUUAAUAAAUUAGUUCUUUGAAAUA